CUGGGGAGCUAGGCCUGGCAGCUGCCAACAAUGAUGCACUGGUGUGUGUCAGAGAUGUGACCUGAGCCACCCAGAGACAGAGACUGGAGACAUGCUGAGUGACACAGUGACAACUGGCCUUGUAAGGUGCUAAGUCCUGAGAAUAUGGAAUGAAGAGUUACUGCCAUGGCCUUUGACAGCAUUGUGUAGUUGGGAAGGCCCAUCUCACACAGAGAAUGACACAGGAAUGACACAGGAAAAGCAACAGCCACCAACCGUACCCAAGGAGGACUGAGAGACCUGGUGUGACCCACAGCUGCAACAUUGUAGUCAUAUUGUCAACAUGGAUACCUGGCUCCAGGAGGCAGCACCAAGAGGCCAUCAGAGAAAUCUCAACCUUGGGAUUUGGGGGAAAGAGAAAUAGUGAAAGGAGGUUACAUUUUAGUAUGUGUUGAUGAUGUGUAUGGGAUGAAAGCAUGAGCAGAAAUAGGGGAAUGUCUUGUGAUAAUUAUCCCAGCUGUCAGAUACAAAAACAUCUGAACACAACACGUUAGUGGCCACACCCCUUUGGGCGUGGCUUCUGAUGCAGGAACUGGAAGGUAGGGAAGACUGGGGCAGGCUCUGUUGGGUCGAGAAUCAGAUCCAGAGGGCAGAGACUCCAUCUUCUGGAGCAGAAAGGCUUCGGUGGUUCUUUAUUAUUAUCUGUGUAAGUUUUUCCUCAAUAAAACACCCAUUUACCAUU